GGGAUGUAAUGGGCGAAGCCUGAUCCAGCCAUGCCGCGUGUGUGAAGAAGGUCUUCGGAUUGUAAAGCACUUUAAGUUGGGAGGAAGGGCAUUUACCUAAUACGUGAUUGUUUUGACGUUACCGACAGAAUAAGCACCGGCUAACUCUGUGCCAGCAGCCGCGGUAAU
rnacentral:rRNA from 1 species